AUUGAACGCUGGCGGCAGGCCUAACACAUGCAAGUCGAACGAGUGGCGGACGGGUGAGUAAUGUCUGGGAAACUACCUGAUGGAGGGGGAUAACUACUGGAAACGGUAGCUAAUACCGCAUACCAUCGGAUGUGCCCCGAUGGGAUUAGCUAGUUGGUGGGGUAACGGCUCACCAAGGCGACGAUCCCUAGCUGGUCUGAGAGGAUGACCAGCCACACUGGAACUGAGACACGGGCCAGACGCCUACGGGAGGCAGCAGUGGGGAAUAUUGCACAAUGGGCGCAAGCCUGAUGCAGCCAUGCCGCGUGUAUGAAGAAGGCCUUCGGGUUGUAAAGUACUUUCAGCGGGGAGGCGUUACCCGCAGAAGAAGCACCGGCUAACUCCGUGCCAGCAGCCGCGGUAAUUC
rnacentral:rRNA from 1 species